UUUCUUUGUCAUCAACUAGGAAGCAAAUUGGCAAAGUAAAUCUUGGGGCGAUGUGAUAUUAAGUGCGGGGGAUAAAAUAGCGUAUGAGGAGGAAACUGCGAAAGAAACUUCAUUUGCCUUUUGUUCAUAAAUUGAUUAUCUCACAUUAUUUCCCAUUAAGGAAGCAUUUCAUCUCAAGGGAAAUCACCAUUGACCAUUAUCAGCCUCCACUAUGCCCAAACCUAUAAAAGGCAACCCUUUAUGCUAUGUAGAGAUCAACAAAUUCUCUAAAACAGCCGUUCUUAAUUAAGGGAUCAAAAACUCUCGCGAGGAAACGGCUACGGAGUUUUAUAAGUGGAUCAAAAUGAACACAGCACUAUCUUGGAUUCUCCUGGGCUUCUUCGUGUGUUUUCUUUUAACUUCGGGCAGCGCGUUCACGCCAGGAGCUGGAGGGCAAAGGGUUGGCAAGAGGGGAAGCAAAAUGGAACUCAGCGAUGACCAGCAGGACUACAUAAGAGAAUUCUGUAACAAAGUCCGCCCGUGUCCGAACGACUACAGAAGAGAGAGUUUUCUGCGUGCCGCUCAACUAGCAAGGGACGAAGACUUCUGACCUGUUGGCCCCGUUUUCUCGCAAAUACCGGACAUUAAUGCACUGUAGUUUACAUUUUACAAAUUUUGAUAAAGAUACAUGUCAUUAUCAGUAAAUAUGUAUGUUCAUAAGUUUUGACUUUGUUUAAUUGGCUAAUUGUAAAUGUCAUUGCGCGGAUCAACGUUGAACCUGUUAAACUGGCUUAAUGAAUUCUUUUUGAAUCGUGCAAAGGAAAGAAAAUUAGUCUAUAUACGGAUAGAGCAAUAAAAUGGGAAAUAAAGCAAUUCCUUGACUAAACCAACUAA